UUUUUUAGGAUUAUUUUUGGAUUUAACACUCUUUUGAUUAACAGUACAUGUCAAACAAUUGAUGCUUUUUCUAAAUAGCUUAACUUCCUCGGAAUAUGAUGAUAAAGGAAAACAAUUCCUAUCAAUGCUCAAAACAUUCAGAGAGCAAAAGCGGAAAUUAACGUCCCUUUCACAAAAACCCUUACUACAUGCAACUUGCUUAGUUUUGUCAUUUACGUAUCAGCUGAUUCAAAUCCAAUUGUCAAAUGCACAUUUUAAGCAAAAAAACAAAACCAACAUCAAGGAAUAAGUCUGAAUGGAUAUUAAUAAAAUAAUUUACGCUAUCAUUGAGGCAUUGAAUAGAAGAAUCGAUAUUAUAACUCAUCCCUCUGUUUUAAAAGCACUUACAAAAAUAAAAUGGCUACAUGUGUAACAUCUUCAUUUUAAUUUCUACCUAUUAUUCUUUAGCAUCAUUUUAACGAUUGCAAAUGGAAAUGAAUCUGGAGAUGCCAUACAGCUUAUAUUAGCUCUACAACUGCCAUUGAUUUGCCUAGUGGGAGAUACAGAUGCACUUGAAUAAACACUAGUCGGAUCACACAAUUUACAUUAGCUAGAAACAGAAACAACCGAAGAUGUAAGGAAUUAAUUUCUUGUUGUAGAACACACUAUUUCAGCAAAUCCAAACCAAGAUAUCAUAAGUUCAAUAGUUGAAACAAUUGGCUUUUUACAGCUAAACAAAUUUUACAGCUAAACAAAUUUACAUGGUGGCUAAACAUGGUGGCUUCGUGAAUUCAAAACAAAUCUGUAACAUGAAUAAAUUCAGAUUUUUAAUUAUGAAUUCAACAAAGGAGUCAUAGAUGAGUAUAGCGUACCUUAAACAAAAAUCGACAAAAAAAUGAUCAAAUAAGGUCUAAACUUCAAAGCUGGAGCUCAACUACUAAACGCAGAAUCAGCAGCGAAAUCAUCAACAAUCAACAAAUGAACAGUAAUCCAGUUUUUGAAUUUUUGAAGAACAGAACCUCGGACGGAAUCUCUUGCCGGCGGUCAGAUCUGGCGGAACCAAACGGAGUUCAUGAAGGCUGCCGGAAUUCUAAGGGGUUCUAGUUUAAGAUGGAGGUGGUUCCAUUUAGGUUCUUGUGUAUGUGCUUUAGGUGAUGACGGGAUGAGGAGGAGGGUCGCUUCUCUUUGAAGAUAAAAGGGGCCAUAGAGAGCAGUGAGAUUGAAAGAAAAGAAGAAGAAGGGUCCUCCUUUGAUAUGCGCCG
rnacentral:lncRNA from 1 species